GGUUGUAUGGUCCAACGGUUAUGACGUCAGAUUCUGAACAUCUGUCUGAUCAUUCAGACAACACCCUUCUGAAGACCCGCGUUCGACUCGCGGUACGACCU